rnacentral:lncRNA from 1 species
CCAUGCUGUAGUCUCUUGAGAAAAUUUUGGCAGGGAGCUCAUUCCAUAACCUAAAUGUAAUAUAUAAAGUGUAAAUGUGAAGAGCAGUCACUCACACUCAUCCACCUUACACUCGCUUUCAUUAUCCUUACAAUAAUAUCGAUCAUUUCCUCGUGUUAUACACAUGCUCCUUCUUUUCACUUCUAAAUUAUUUCCUUCACAUGUACUGUCACUCUCUUACAUUGAAUCUGUUUUGGACAGUACGUAUACUUGGUAAAUUUUAAUAGAAGUUAAUGAAAAUGUGGACAAGUUUUGUUAAAAAUAUCGUAAAAAACUUCUGUACAUGAAAUGUUAAAUCGAUUUUUUGUUUAGACUGUUAUUGGAGAUCAAUAGAAUUAUCUUAAAGAUCAAUUAGUUACUUUUUUGUUCACAUUUUCAUGAAGCUGUAUCGAAAGAGACCGUCGUAUCAGCUGUCUACCCACCGCUGAACAUAGGCCUUUGUUGUUAGUUGCCACUUUUGGUAGGAGGGUUGGUAACUGUAGUUGGGCUUUGAUGAUGUUUUAAAAGGGAUGAGAACAAAGAUAUGUGUACAAUUGUGUAUAUAUGUAUGUAAGUAUGGGCAGGACACUUGGCUAGGUGGAAAGAUAGACUGUGGACCGAGGCUGUGUUAGAAUGGUGUCUUUUUUUUUAAUGAGUGAUAAUGGAAUGGUAAUCCCUCGUUAUCAGGGCACCGAUGAAGGAUGACAGGUGAGGAUGAAGCAGGUCAGGUAGCCCACCGUGACUAUUCAACAAGAAUUGUUGACGAUGGUUUCGAGGGGGAACCGCGUGGAGGUUGACCUGAUAGGGCUGUAGUGAGUGGCACGAUAUAUUGGGGCCUAUGUCCAGCGCUGGGCAGAGGCCGGCGGUGGUAAGCGUGUGGUGGUGUGGUGCGGCGGCAGGUGGACAGCGAGAUCCGGCGGCUGCUGGCGGACAGCUACGAGCGCGCCAAGGCCAUCCUGCGGGCGCACGCGCGCGAACACCGCGCGCUCGCAGACGCGCUGCUCAAGUACGAGACCCUGGACGCGGAGGACAUCCGCGCGAUCGUGAACGGUGAGAAGGUGAAGAAUGAGCGGCAGCGAGCCAGCAAGGACCCCGCGGCCGGACCGCAAGCAGCGCCCGCCGCGCCCGCCGCGCCCGUGCUGCUGCCGCCCGCCGCGCAGCCCGCGCCCGCAUAGAUGGCGCAGGUGGCGGAGCUAGCGGCGCCCGCAGCGGACACAAAACUGUACAAAUGAAAGUGUAUUGAAAAUUUUGCAGGCGACGCUCACUCAACACUAAGCUAAUAAAAAUAAGUAAAACCUGGUUUCACACAUUAGUUUCCUUGUAGCGUUGUUGGUACGGCCGGAGGCUGCUCUACUGGCGUAAAUAGACUGCUAUAUAUAUAUAACUCAAAUGGUGCUUGUUAAUAGCACUAAAACUCAAAAACGACUUGAUCGAUUCGUAUGUAUUUUUUAGUGAAAUAUGUGGACUUAUGUUUACCACUAGGUCUGGCUAAUAACAGCAUCUUUUAAUAUCUAUAUAUCGGACUCGUGUGGACAUUGACGACGGGGUAACAGGUCAUCGCCCAUUCCAACCGGAUAACAGGCGCGUCCGUAGCAUAUUUGCUACUUUAGUAAUUCAGAUACUUUUGUCAAUUUGUCCAUAUCAGCGCCAUCUAUUGUGAAAUUUCGCCUUAAUUAUCAUGUUUUAUUGGCAUACGUCCAACCCGCCUGCCAAGCGUGGCAACUAAUGGUAAACCCUCCUUUAUGGGAGAGGCUAUGUAGACAGCAGUAGAUAGUCAACGGCUGAUAUAAAAUUGCCAUACACUCGUACCUAUGGGUUUUAGCAGUCUAUUCAUGGGAGUAAAAUUGGUAGUCUCUAGUAUGAAUAUGUAGCGACCAUUAUUUUUUCUGUACACAGUUGGGUUUAUAGUUUACUAUAUUUUAUGAAUGAAUAUGGAAUAACAACCUCGCCUGCGCUGUCGGUAUACUGUGGCGGGGUACUAGUGACUAGGUGAGGAUGAAGUCGGGUCAGGCCCAUCGUGAUGAAUUCACUAGGCAUUCACCACGAUCUCUAGAUCAGCUAGAAGCCGAGACCGCUUGACCAGACAGUAAAUAAGAUUUUCUAGAAACGACUGUAAUAACCCAAAAAUUUCUUUGAGCUAAAUGUUUAAUUUAAAAGAAAGUGACAAAUGGUACCAUAUAGUUAAAAUACGUUUGUAGGAUUUAGUUGUUAGUUCCAGUAUCUGUCUGUGUUCAUUAGUGUCAGAGUCGAGUUAGACCGAGCGUGUGCAUCCUUAUUCUAUGGAGUCACAGUCCGAUAGGUAAAUUCUAAGAACAAGUAAUUGCAUAGAAGGAAUGAUAAAAUAUAAACAGUAAAUCAUAUGGUUGCCUCUUUUCUUUUUAUGCUAAAAUUAUUAGUAAAAAGAAGACGUGAGAUAUACUAUCAGGUACUUUUUUCUCGAUUUGUAGUAGGCUAGUUUUCAGUAGGUUUUAUUGGACGUAUAAUUAUGCCAAAUUCAGAUACAACCUGCUUGCAUACUUUUUACGUAAACUGUGUCGAAUAUAUAAUCUAGUAAUGUAAAGUGUCAUUGACAAAUAAUUGACAUAUCAAACAUUUUCUAUACACUAGCCUGCUAUGAAUUGAGAAAAAAGCAAUUGAUGGUGCACCUUUUGUCCCCUUUUUACUAAUUAUAUUUGCUAUGAAGAAAGAAGGCAGCCGUUUCAUUUAGUUUUCCUUCUAUGUAAUUCCUUGUUCUUAGGGUAAAUUGCCCCCCUUGGUACUGGCGACUCUAUAUGGUUGCUUACUCUGUAUCAUUUAGGAUGCUUAAAACCAGAGAUACCAUUUCUAAUUUAUAUUUGAAGUCAAAAUGAAUGAAUUGAGCCCUUUCAUAUUGUCUUCCACCUCGUUCACGCCCCAAUCCGAGUAAAUGAAAGGAUUAGAUUAUAUAGAUAGAGCAUUGCGUGUCAGGAAUGUGUUAACAUUUACUCAACUAAAUUGACAUUUGACUGACUCAAUUGAAAUUUUUUAAAUAUAGACGAACCCACCCCUUAUUUAGUGUUGCAAGUAAUUAGAUCAAAAUUUCCCAGACCAAGUAACAAUUUUCAAAUUUAUUUGGCAACUAUUACUUAUGUUAGUAUUGGUUACAAAUUAAUUUACAUAUAUAAAUUAAAAUGUCGGUCAUGUCCAGACAAAUUUAUCAUUAUUUUUUAAUUUAAACUUAGAAUAUAAUUUCUGCCAUACACUGAGUAGUAAAUGUACAUUAUGGUAACCCUAUUCACGCACAUAUGGUUAAAAAUAUGACCUGUUUUUAGUGAAGUAUUUAUAUGUAUAUACUCUAUCUAUUUAAUCUAAGGAUAGGAGAUAUGAACUUGUCUCGUAUCUCAUAUACAAGGUGAAGCCGAAACCGUUUGCAUCCUGUUACGGUAGUGUCCUUUUUCUCUUAAAAUCUUGGGCCUUCCAUAUUGAUCUAACAGCCGGACGCUUUGUCUCGUUUUUCAAAUCGUUUCUUCGGAAAUGUUCAAUCAAUGGUAACAUCUAAAAUGUUAUUAACUUAAUUUAAUUUCACCCUGUAUAUCUGUCGAUAAGUAACGUUCAUUAUUGGGUAUAAUGAACUUAGACCUUUGACGCCUCAGACGUUCCAAGCAUUCUGCCUGAAGGGCGGGCCGUAUGCUUCUGAAAUGUUCUUAUCAGUGAUACCUGUUUAGGGAGCGGUGCCUAUAAAGUAAAAUAAAUCAUAUAGCCGAUUUAUCUAAACUUAUCUUUUAUAACACAGGGGGCAAACGAGCAUACGGCUCACCUGAUGGUAAGUGACUACCGCCGCCCAUGAUCAUCCACAACACCAACGGUAUUGCAGGUGUGCUGCCUGUCUUUUAAAAAGGGAUAUGCUCUUUUCUUGAAGGUUAUGAUAUCGUUUCGGUUCGGAAAUACCGCUGCUAGAUGUAUCUCUAGAAUUGAAUUUUCAAUUUGAUACUACAGCGAAAUCCUUACUGUAAGGAACAAUAUGAACUAAUUUUCUAAUAGAUUUACGUCAAAAUUAUUAUAAAUAUAAUUUGUGGUGGUCCAUAGAACAGUAAUUUCGAGAAAUUAUUAAAUUUAAAUAUAAGAGAUAAGUUUAGAAAAACAGCACUUCAGAAUCGGCCCCUAUAUCUGGCUAUAAUUAUAAGGCUUUCAGUGUUACACUUGAGCUAAUACGAACCUUUUUUACAGAACUACUUUUAAAUAUCAAUAAGAGAAUAUUCCUUCUUAAAACGCCGGCAAUUUCUCCUGAUGUUGUGCGUGUCUAUAGUCUAUGGGUGGCGGUAAUCACCAUCAGGCCAACCGCAUACUCGUUAAAAAAAAAAUGUAAAACCCUAUUUCAUCAUCAUCUUCCUACCCUUAUCCCAAUAAUUUGUGGUCGGCGUAAUAUGAUUUUGUCCAUAUUACAAAAAGACUUGGUUUUUAGUUUUACGACCGGCCACCUGCCUAACGUCAACCAUAAAACCAUAUUUCAUCAAUUCACCUAUUUACUAAGUUCUUGCCACACCGAGGCCAGUGCUCUUCCUAUAGUAUAUGUUGUAUACAUAUUAUUUGUUUAUCACAGUCUCACUAGGAGACAAGAAAAAGCCAGUAAAAUACAACAUGGCGUCAUGUUUUCGCGCCAAUAAUGAUGUAUGUUCGGAAUUCGAAUUCCAAUUUCAAAUAAUUAAAAUAAUAUUUUUUUUUCUUCUAAUUAUCCGAAUUACAUAGAACAUUGAACGGAGAACUGCAAAACGUGAAUCGGGCCACAGCGUAAUUGUAUAAAGUUAAUUUAAUUAUGUAGCCAAUUCAUUUAGUUGUGUUAUUGUUGCGCUUGGCUGUUGAAUUUGACGUCGGCUACUGUAGCGGAAACUGUUUGUUUUCCUAAACUUCCUCUUACCUCGCGUGGUGGCAAGCGAUGAUAAGAUCUAGGUUGGAUGUGUUUAGAAAAUACUUUUCUAGUUAACUGUUAUUAUUUUUUAAAACUUUAUUCGUUUUUAUAUACAUGACUAGUUUUUACUGGCGACUUUGUCCGCGUGACUGGCAUGAAAAGCAGCCUGUUCUCCAGUCGGAGAAAUUUCCUUCUUUCUACAUAGCGACUUAUAUGUAAUAAGUCGUAUUAUAUGUAUGUUUUAGUGCAAUAAUUAAAUAUACAAACGGCUUCUAUUCCUUGAAAAUUGCAAAAUUUUAUAAAUUCACUGUCGUUGGGUCCUCUAUACGACUAAGCCUAAUGUAAUGUAAUGUAAUGUAAUGUAAGAAAGACUCUGUUUUCCGCUACUAACGACUAAGCCUAUUUAGUAGAUAUUUUUUAAAUUAUGCGGGUAGUUUUAAAAAUUAUUACACUUUUUAGUAUUUCGCGCGAGUUCCUCUUACCAUUCAGUUUCAACAGUGAAGCGCAACGGUUCUUAUGCAUCGGAGACAAAUAAAAUGUUGACUAUAAA